AGAUGUGAAACCAAUCUGGCUGCAACAUCUGUCACCCCACUGAUCGCCAGCGUUGAAUCAGCUGAUCUGGUUGCCUAGGCCGGUGUCCCCCUCCUCCCUCACCGCUCUAUGGGUGUCCCUCCCAAUGUUGCUUGCUGGGUCAGUCUAGGAUAUAAAUAGGCAGGUUUCAGAGAAAAAAAAAUCGAAGCUAUCAUUUGCUACAUGUAAAAAAAAAAUGUUCCAAAUCACUAAUAAUUGCAGAAAUACACAUUAAGACAACUCUGAAGCAUAACUUCAUACCCAUCCAACUGAUUAGGAU
rnacentral:snRNA from 1 species